ensembl:lncRNA
GUUGGAACUAAUAUGGUGCACUACCUCAACAAUGAGACAAGCCAGGAUCCACAUGCCUUGGUGCUUGGAGACAAAGAAAAUUCCUCCCAAGUUUUCAUCAUUUUCAAUGGAGAGGCAGUUGAAAAGAAGACCUUACUUCAAGCAGUGGAUAUCGUUGUUGUAGCUGUUGUAGUGUUACAUGCCUGGUCUCUCGUCCUUGUUUCUGCCUGUUUCUUCGCUAUGCUGGAUCGCUUCACUCCUGGAACCCCAUCCACUCACCUCUCCACUGGAUCGCCCAUCUCAGUUCCUGCGUCACGCUCUCCUGCUGUCCAAUUCCACCUCUACUUCCUGGCCGCCCAUGACGUUAUCUCUCUCCAUGCAGUUGUCCUGUUGGUUAUCCUCUUAUCAUUUGUAUCACAAUUCAUUAAAUUAUAAUUACACUUGCAUUUGCUUCCUCGCCCAUUCCUUUUCAUUACAUGUUUGCAUUCAGUGGAUACUCUCCAAAAUGGCACUAGGGUGACACGGAGGAGACAAAUUGUUGAAUAAGUCAUUAUUUUUUUUCUUUUGCACACAAAAAGUAUUAUCGUAUAAUAUUACGGUUGAACCCCUGAUGUCACAUGGAUUAUUUUCCCGAUCUCCUUGCUAUGUUUCUGAACGUUGAUCUUAUAAGGACCCUUGCUGUCUAUGGGAGGGUCAGAGAGCUGUCAGAUUGCAUCAAAAAUAUCUGAAUUUGUGUUCUAAAGAUGAAUGGAGGUCUUACGGGUUUGGAACGACAUGAGAGUGAAUAAUUAAUGACAGAAUUUUCAUUUUUGGGCGAACAAUCCCUUUAAGGUGUUUAUAACAAUGCAUAUGGUGUACACUGUAGCCUUGAUGUUUAUUUCUUGAAGUAUAAAGGUAUGUCCUUGGUGUACACAUUUGUGUAGUUUUUGAAUUGGUAUACUGAAUGUGCACAUUUGUGGUUUGAAUUUGUAUACCGUAUGUGCACAAAUGUUUAGGUUGUAUAUGCCUGUACUGUAUGUGCACAUCUGUUUUAAAUGUGUAUUAUAUGUGCACCUGUGUAGGUUUUGAAUCGGUAAACCAUAUGUGCACAUUUGUUUUGAAUAUUUGUACUGUAUGUGCAUAUUUGUGUUUUGAAUUUAACGUGUAUUAGAAUUUAUGUAUAUUGUUUGUGUAUAUUUGUUUUGAAUUUAAUGUGUAUUUUGAAUAUUUGUACUUCAACAAUUAUUUGCCAUGUGUUCUACAUUUUCACUCGUGUAUUUUGAAUUCAAUAUAUGCAAAUAAGUGUGCAUAUUUAUAUUAAAUACUAGGCUCACCAAUAUUGAGUACAUUUGUCAUUUAAAACUUAAUACCUGUUUUUAAAACAGAUUUAUAGUUUUUCUACUUUAAUAAACAAUCUGUAUUUGAAAACUGUGUAUUUUAU